rnacentral:pre_miRNA from 14 species
UAUUAGUGAAUGAUCCUGGAAGGGAGACUCUCACUCAAGUCUCGGGAAGUUGUGGACCCCAGACACACAAGAGACC